UAAUACGUAGGGUGCAAGCGUUAAUCGGAAUUACUGGGCGUAAAGCGUGCGCAGGCGGUUGUGUAAGUCAGAUGUGAAAUCCCCGGGCUCAACCUGGGAAUUGCAUUUGAGACUGCACGGCUAGAGUGUGUCAGAGGGGGGUAGAAUUCCACGUGUAGCAGUGAAAUGCGUAGAUAUGUGGAGGAAUACCGAUGGCGAAGGCAGCCCCCUGGGAUAACACUGACGCUCAUGCACGAAAGCGUGGGGAGCAAACAGGAUUAGAUACCCUGGUAGUCCACGCCCUAAACGAUGUCUACUAGUUGUCGGGUCUUAAUUGACUUGGUAACGCAGCUAACGCGUGAAGUAGACCGCCUGGGGAGUACGGUCGCAAGAUUAAA
rnacentral:rRNA from 1 species